UUGGAGGGCAAGUCUGGUGCCAGCAGCCGCGGUAAUUCCAGCUCCAAUAGCGUAUAUUAAAGUUGUUGCAGUUAAAAAGCUCGUAGUUGAAUUUCGGGAUCAGAGUGUCGGUCGUGCCUCGGUACGCACUGGUAUUAUUGGUUCCUACCUUCUGAAGAACCGCGAUGUCAUUAAUUUGGUGUCGUGGGGAAUCAGGACUGUUACUUUGAAAAAAUUAGAGUGUUUAAAGCAGGCUUACGCUUGAAUACAUUAGCAUGGAAUAAUGAAAUAGGACGUUUGAUUCUAUUUCGUUGGUUUCUAGGAUUGACGUAAUGAUUAAUAGGGAUAGUUGGGGGCAUUAGUAUUCAAUUGUCAGAGGUGAAAUUCUUGGAUUUAUUGAAGACUAACUACUGCGAAAGCAUUUGCCAAGGAUGUUUUCAUUAAUCAAGAACGAAAGUUAGGGGAUCGAAGACGAUCAGAUACCGUCGUAGUCUUAACCAUAAACUAUGCCGACUAGGGAUCGGAUGAUGUUAAUUUUUUAAUGACUCAUUCGGCGCCUUACGGGAAAC
rnacentral:rRNA from 1 species